rnacentral:lncRNA from 1 species
UUGUCUUUGGUCUUUGCAGCUUUGCUUGGUUGGAAUCUCACUGGGGUUUCACUCAUUCCUCCCAAUCUGAAAAAUUAUCCCCACUUUGAUCUUAACUUUCAUGGUCCAAAUCAUUAUCAUCACUACCACCACCAAGGGCAGGGCCCGGGUUGAGCCCUGGGUCCUGGUUGAGGGCAACCUAAGUGUUAUUGUACAUCUAGAUAGUAUGGCCAAACAAUACCGAAUUACAAGAUUUGUACACUUACAAAAUUAGAGCCUUUCGCUUACUAGCUAUGCUGGGAGGUGCCGUGGGACUCUAGGCGUAGGCACAACCACAUCGCGA